AUGAACGCUAGCGGCAGGCUUAACACAUGCAAGUCGAGGGGUAUAGUUCUUCGGAACUAGAGACCGGCGCACGGGUGCGUAACGCGUAUGCAAUCUACCUUUUACAGAGGGAUAGCCCAGAGAAAUUUGGAUUAAUACCUCAUAGUAUAGCGACAUCGCAUGAUGAUGCUAUUAAAGUCACAACGGUAAAAGAUGAGCAUGCGUCCCAUUAGCUAGUUGGUAAGGUAACGGCUUACCAAGGCUACGAUGGGUAGGGGUCCUGAGAGGGAGAUCCCCCACACUGGUACUGAGACACGGACCAGACUCCUACGGGAGGCAGCAGUGAGGAAUAUUGGACAAUGGGCGCAAGCCUGAUCCAGCCAUGCCGCGUGCAGGAUGACGGUCCUAUGGAUUGUAAACUGCUUUUAUACGAGAAGAAACACUGAUUCGUGAAUCAGCUUGACGGUAUCGUAAGAAUAAGGAUCGGCUAACUCCGUGCCAGCAGCCGCGGUAAUACGGAGGAUCCAAGCGUUAUCCGGAAUCAUUGGGUUUAAAGGGUCCGUAGGCGGUUUAGUAAGUCAGUGGUGAAAGCCCAUCGCUCAACGGUGGAACGGCCAUUGAUACUGCUGAACUUGAAUUAUUAGGAAGUAACUAGAAUAUGUAGUGUAGCGGUGAAAUGCUUAGAGAUUACAUGGAAUACCAAUUGCGAAGGCAGGUUACUACUAAUGGA
rnacentral:rRNA from 1 species